CCUACGGGGGGCAGCAGUAGGGAAUGUUCGUCAAUGGGCGCAAGCCUGAACGAGCAAUGCCGCGUGAACGAGGAAGGUCUUCGGAUCGUAAAGUUCUGUUGAAGGGGAAAAAGAGCGGAGAGAGGAAAUGAACUCCGAUGGAGAUUACCCUUCGAGGAAGGCACGGCUAACUACGUGCCAGCAGCCGCGGUAAUACGUAGGUGGCGAGCGUUAGCCGGAAUGAUUGGGCGUAAAGGGUGCGUAGGCGGCCUGCUAAGUCUGGCGUGAAAGGGACCGGCUCAACCGGGAGAGGCUCUGGAAACUGGCGGGCUAGCGCGCAGGAGAGGGCGGUGGCACUCCAUGUGUAGCGGUCAAAUGCGUAGAUAUCUGGAAGACCACCAGUGGCGAAGGCGGCCGCCUGGCCUGUUCCUGACGCUGAGGCACGAACGCGUGGGGAGCACAUAGGAUUAGAUACCCUGGUAGUC
rnacentral:rRNA from 1 species